rnacentral:tRNA from 1 species
GUCUGUACCUCAGUGGCAGAGCACCUGCUUGGCAUGCAGAAGGCCCUAGGUUCAAUCCUUGACAUCUACA